rnacentral:rRNA from 1 species
GGGGAAUAUUGGACAAUGGGCGCAAGCCUGAUCCAGCCAUGCCGCGUGUGUGAAGAAGGCCUUAUGGUUGUAAAGCACUUUAAGCGAGGAGGAGGCUACUUUAGUUAAUACCCAGAGAUAGUGGACGUUACUCGCAGAAUAAGCACCGGCUAACUCUGUGCCAGCAGCCGCGGUAAUACAGAGGGUGCAAGCGUAAAUCGGAUUUACUGGGCGUAAAGCGAGCGUAGGCGGCUAAUUAAGUCAAAUGUGAAAUCCCCGAGCUUAACUUGGGAAUUGCAUUCGAUACUGGUUAGCUAGAGUGUGGGAGAGGAUGGUAGAAUUCCAGGUGUAGCGGUGAAAUGCGUAGAGAUCUGGAGGAAUACCGAUGGCGAAGGCAGCCAUCUGGCCUAACACUGACGCUGAGGUGCGAAAGCAUGGGGAGCAAAC